AGCUUUUACAAAACUUUGCGUAUCAAAAAUGUCCACAGAUUCUGUCUAGUCCUCACCUUGUAUCGUUGUAAUACCUGUGUCAUACCAACGUCUCUAUACAAGUUUGUGUGGCGCGCGCGCGCACACACACACACACACACACCUGUCAUUCUCACACACGGAAGAGCGCGCUCCGGACUCAAUCAUGUAGUGACAGAAACAGCAGAUGUUGGAUCGCCUCAUCGCGUCGCGUUGAUCAGAUAAAAGAUGAUUGUGCUGAGUUUGAUCUGUGCUGCUCUUCUUCUGCAGUCCUCGGUUUGCACCGAGUCUCCAGAUGCUGACAGGACUGAUCAUGGAGACUUUGUGUAUUUUAAAGAUGCUCCGGACACAGUGCAGAACAACUCUAGUGUACACUUGCUGUAUAACUGCUCUGCCGCCUGUCGAGUCAGUGUGGAAAUUAUAAUCUCCUCGCCAUCGAGAGCAGGAGCGGUAGUAUUCAGAAGGACCUGGACUAACUCUAAAAAUGUUGGAAAGCCCAGAUCUAGAGAUUUCCCUCUGGUGUUUCCUCCAGCUCUGCUCUACCAGAGAGACUUUUUCAUCAGGCGUCCGCUGGAGGCCUGUGAUGUGCUUCUGAGGGCCCGUUUGCUCCAUUUGGCAGAACAGGAGCUUAUUGGAGACCAUGUUGAUGGAUCAAUUGUGAAAGCAUCUAGGUUUGUGAGGACUCUACCGCUUUCUGAACGUCCAGCAUGUCCACGCACAAGAUCAGUGUCAUGGGGAGCGUGGCUGAUGUGGCGGAUUACCAAAAACACUGUGAGGACAUGUCCAGUCGAGUCAGGUGAGAGCCGUAUUGACCAGAACCAAGGGCAGAAUUUAAAGGGAUAGUUCACGCAAAGAUGAAAUACAAACUACUUAUUUAAAAUGAGCGGAAUUCUUGAGUGUUUUUGAGACAACUCAAUGUUUUAUGUUUAAUCCACUUAAAUCUGUGAAAACAAUUAAGUUAACUUAAUUGAUUUGUGUUGGGAAAACAUGAAGGGAUUGU
rnacentral:lncRNA from 1 species